rnacentral:misc_RNA from 1 species
GAUGAAGAACGUAGCGAAAUGCGAUAAGUAAUGUGAAUUGCACAAUUCAGUGUAUCAUCGAAUCUUUGAACGCACAUUGCGCCCGCCAGUAUUCUGGCGGGCAUGCCUGUUCGAGCGUCAUUACAACCCUCAGGCCCCCGGGCCUGGCGUUGGGGAUCGGCGGAAGCCCCCUGCGGGCACAACGCCGUCCCCCAAAUACAGUGGCGGUCCCGCCGCAGCUUCCAUUGCGUAGUAGCUAACACCUCGCAACUGGAGAGCGGCGCGGCCACGCCGUAAAACACCCAACUUCUGAAUGUUGACCUCGAAUCAGGUAGGAAUACCCGCUGAACUUAAGCAUAUCAAUAAGCGGAGGA